GAUGAACGCUGGCGGCGUGCCUAAUACAUGCAAGUCGAGCGAACGGACGAGAAGCUUGCUUCUCUGAUGUUAGCGGCGGACGGGUGAGUAACACGUGGAUAACCUACCUAUAAGACUGGGAUAACUUCGGGAAACCGGAGCUAAUACCGGAUAAUAUUUUGAACCGCAUGGUUCAAAAGUGAAAGACGGUCUUGCUGUCACGUAUAGAUGGAUCCGCGCUGCAUUAGCUAGUUGGUAAGGUAACGGCUUACCAAGGCAACGAUGCAUAGCCGAGCUGAGAGGGUGAUCGGCCACACUGGAACUGAGACACGGUCCAGACUCCUACGGGAGGCAGCAGUAGGGAAUCUUCCGCAAAGGGCGAAAGCCUGACGGAGCAACGCCGCGUGAGUGAUGAAGGUCUUCGGAUCGUAAAACUCUGUUAUUAGGGAAGAACAUAUGUGUAAGUAACUGUGCACAUCUUGACGGUACCUAAUCAGAAAGCCACGGCUAACUACGUG
rnacentral:rRNA from 1 species